UGUGAAUCCUUAGGAAACAUAGAGCUUCUUAUCUCGAAGUAGCUUUGUUAAGCCAUAUAAGCUGGCAAAAUCAGAAACUUUUGUUGGCCAAGGAUGCAUCAAGCUGGCUGUGAUGGAUGGGUAAUCAUCUGCACAUUUAGCGUUUGUGCUCUUCAGGUGCAAGCGACUGGUGCAUGCAUUGACCCUUUGGUUGGGUCACACGCUCUGUGUAGGUGCAGGGUCUGUCUUAUUGGUACCAGGACAGCAGAGCUCCUUUUCUGGAGGAAUUGCAUGCUGGGCAGUAUAGAAGCCUGUGAUGCCUCCCAUUUGUGAUUUAUGGGCGUGUUCCCAGUUCCCAGAACACGAUGAUUGAUGAAGUAAGCAAGCAUCUAUACAUCUCGAGAGUUGGCGGCGAUUGUAUCUCAGAAGGCAACACCGAAGAGCCUUACAAGUACAACGCUGGCAGAUUGAAAACCCAGCUGGGGAUGCAUUCUAGGUCAGCGACUUUAGUUUUCUUCCCACCCAGAACAAGUGAAACUUGCACCCCGGCUCCCAGCAGACAAUGAUGCGACGGAAGUGGAGAGGGUGUGGUCAAAAUCAGCAUACCGUCUAUGCAGUCUGGUUCUGGUGUGUCUUGGAGUGGAGCACGGCAUGCCCUGUCCUGCUUGGGAAUAACUUGGGAUGCGACGCUCAAUUUAGUGGCAGUUCAAUUCGUAAUUUCAGAAUCCACUUAUAUGUUUGUAUAUAAAAAGUGCGUGGUGAACCCAUGAACCUAUGCCCGUGCAGUAAAAUUAA